rnacentral:misc_RNA from 1 species
UUUCCGUAGGUGAACCUGCGGAAGGAUCAUUAUUGUAUAACCGAAGUGCGUAGGCUGUCGCUGACCCGCACGGACACGCACGCCCCAGUGCCCCCCCACACCCCCAUCCCACCCCUAUGUGCACCACCGCGCGGCUCCCCCUUUGGCUUGAUCAGAAGGGCGCUUCCGUUUUCACUCCUACUUUAUAUGCAGUGUUUCAUGUAUUUUUUGCUUUUGCGUUCACGCAAUCAAGACAGCUUUCAACAACGGAUCUCCUCGCCUUCGCUUCGAUGAAGAACG